UCACUUUCAACAACGGAUCUCUUGGCUCUCGCAUCGAUGAAGAACGUAGCGAAGUGCGAUAAGUAGUGUGAAUUGCAGAAUUCCGUGAAUCAUCGAAUCUUUGAACGCAAAUUGCACUCCCUGGCAUUCCGGGGAGUAUGCCUGUUUGAGGGUCGGUA
rnacentral:rRNA from 1 species